CUCCGGUUGAUCCCGCGGGACCCGACUGCUAUCAGAGUGGGACUAAGCCAUGCGAGUCGACGUAGCAAUGCGUGGCGAACGGCUCAGUAACACGUAGUCAACAUGCCCAGGGGACGUGGAUAACCUCGGGAAACUGAGAAUAAACCACGAUAGGUCACGAUUUCUGGAAUGGAUCAUGGCCUAAAUCUAUAUGGCCCCUGGAUUGGACUGCGGCCGAUCAGGCUGUUGGUGAGGUAAUGGCCCACCAAACCUGUAACCGGUACGGGCUCUGAGAGGAGGAGCCCGGAGAUGGGCACUGAGACAAGGGCCCAGGCCCUAUGGGGCGCAGCAGGCGCGAAACCUCUGCAAUAGGCGAAAGCUUGACAGGGUUACUCUGAGUGAUUUCCGUUAAGGAGAUCUUUUGGCACCUCUAAAAAUGGUGCAGAAUAAGGGGUGGGCAAGUCUGGUGUCAGCCGCCGCGGUAAUACCAGCACCCCGAGUGGUCGGGACGUUUAUUGGGCCUAAAGCAUCCGUAGCCGGUUCUACAAGUCUUCCGUUAAAUCCACCUGCUUAACAGAUGGGCUGCGGAAGAUACUAUAGAGCUAGGAGGCGGGAGAGGCAAGCGGUACUCGAUGGGUAGGGGUAAAAUCCGUUGAUCCAUUGAAGACCACCAGUGGCGAAGGCGGCUUGCCAGAACGCGCUCGACGGUGAGGGAUGAAAGCUGGGGGAGCAAACCGGAUUAGAUACCCGGGUAGUCCCAGCUGUAAACGAUGCAGACUCGGUGAUGGGUUGGCUUCGAGCCAACCCAGUGCCGCAGGGAAGCCGUUAAGUCUGCCGCCUGGGGAGUACGGUCGCAAGACUGAAACUUAAAGGAAUUGGCGGGGGAGCA
rnacentral:rRNA from 1 species